AUGAGUUUGUGAACUUUCCCAUUCCCAUUGGAAGAGUAGGGUGCGACCACUAGGGUAAAUAAAAUGAAAAGUUUGAGCUUGAUAGCUCAUUUGCAUUGUGGCUGCCGAAACCUAGAGGAAGAAGGAAGAAAGAGAGCUCGUAGAGGAGAGAAAUGAGAGGAAGGAAGAGGAAGAAAGGGAUUUAAAAAAUCCUAGGGUUUUGAAGUGCCAAAAGGUUGAUCAACUUUUUGGGUUUUUGAUUACUAUCAAAAGAGGCAAUAGGGUUUCUCCUUGGCACGCACAGUGAUGUGGGAAGUUCUGAUGUCUGGACAUGUAUGACGCGGGGUGUCUCAUGAGCGAUUGACGAUCUAGACGAACACCAAGAAAGUUUAUGAACUUUUAUGUUAUGACUUAUGUUUUUAUUAUGCUACAGUGGGGUUUUAUAUUUUAUUUUCAAGAUUGCAUAAAGACUAAAUUUUUAUUUUAAACUAUUGGGCUCAAAUUGCAUGUUUUGAGAAGGCCCCAUUGAACCUUUUUCUAAGAUGGUAAUUUUUUUUCUAAUAAAUAUGAACUGAGCGAAGUUUUACAAAGUAAAUAGAAUAGGACGUUCUUACAAAUAGUAUCAGAGAUGGUCGUUCAUGUUUCCAAGGACCCUCCACAUACAUGCUAAA